AGGGGAGUGAAAAAGAACCUGAAACCGUGUACGUACAAGCAGUGGGAGCACGCUUAGGCGUGUGACUGCGUACCUUUUGUAUAAUGGGUCAGCGACUUAUAUUCUGUAGCAAGGUUAACCGAAUAGGGGAGCCGAAGGGAAACCGAGUCUUAACUGGGCGUUAAGUUGCAGGGUAUAGACCCGAAACCCGGUGAUCUAGCCAUGGGCAGGUUGAAGGUUGGGUAACACUAACUGGAGGACCGAACCGACUAAUGUUGAAAAAUUAGCGGAUGACUUGUGGCUGGGGGUGAAAGGCCAAUCAAACCGGGAGAUAGCUGGUUCUCCCCGAAAGCUAUUUAGGUAGCGCCUCGUGAAUUCAUCUCCGGGGGUAGAGCACUGUUUCGGCAAGGGGGUCAUCCCGACUUACCAACCCGAUGCAAACUGCGAAUACCGGAGAAUGUUAUCACGGGAGACACACGGCGGGUGCUAACGUCCGUCGUGAAGAGGGAAACAACCCAGACCGCCAGCUAAGGUCCCAAAGUCAUGGUUAAGUGGGAAACGAUGUGGGAAGGCCCAGACAGCCAGGAUGUUGGCUUAGAAGCAGCCAUCAUUUAAAGAAAGCGUAAUAGCUCACUGGUCGAGUCGGCCUGCGCGGAAGAUGUAACGGGGCUAAACCAUGCACCGAAGCUGCGGCAGCGACGCUGAUGCGUUGUUGGGUAGGGGAGCGUUCUGUAAGCCUGCGAAGGUGUGCUGUGAGGCAUGCUGGAGGUAUCAGAAGUGCGAAUGCUGACAUAAGUAACGAUAAAGCGGGUGAAAAGCCCGCUCGCCGGAAGACCAAGGGUUCCUGUCCAACGUUAAUCGGGGCAGGGUGAGUCGACCCCUAAGGCGAGGCCGAAAGGCGUAGUCGAUGGGAAACAGGUUAAUAUUCCUGUACUUGGUGUUACUGCGAAGGGGGGACGGAGAAGGCUAUGUUGGCCGGGCGACGGUUGUCCCGGUUUAAGCGUGUAGGCUGGUUUUCCAGGCAAAUCCGGAAAAUCAAGGCUGAGGCGUGAUGACGAGGCACUGCGGUGCUGAAGCAACAAAUGCCCUGCUUCCAGGAAAAGCCUCUAAGCAUCAGGUAACAUCAAAUCGUACCCCAAACCGACACAGGUGGUCAGGUAGAGAAUACCAAGGCGCUUGAGAGAACUCGGGUGAAGGAACUAGGCAAAAUGGUGCCGUAACUUCGGGAGAAGGCACGCUGAUAUGUAGGUGAAGUCCCUCGCGGAUGGAGCUGAAAUCAGUCGAAGAUACCAGCUGGCUGCAACUGUUUAUUAAAAACACAGCACUGUGCAAACACGAAAGUGGACGUAUACGGUGUGACGCCUGCCCGGUGCCGGAAGGUUAAUUGAUGGGGUUAGCGCAAGCGAAGCUCUUGAUCGAAGCCCCGGUAAACGGCGGCCGUAACUAUAACGGUCCUAAGGUAGCGAAAUUCCUUGUCGGGUAAGUUCCGACCUGCACGAAUGGCGUAAUGAUGGCCAGGCUGUCUCCACCCGAGACUCAGUGAAAUUGAACUCGCUGUGAAGAUGCAGUGUACCCGCGGCAAGACGGAAAGACCCCGUGAACCUUUACUAUAGCUUGACACUGAACAUUGAGCCUUGAUGUGUAGGAUAGGUGGGAGGCUUUGAAGUGUGGACGCCAGUCUGCAUGGAGCCGACCUUGAAAUACCACCCUUUAAUGUUUGAUGUUCUAACGUUGACCCGUAAUCCGGGUUGCGGACAGUGUCUGGUGGGUAGUUUGACUGGGGCGGUCUCCUCCUAAAGAGUAACGGAGGAGCACGAAGGUUGGCUAAUCCUGGUCGGACAUCAGGAGGUUAGUGCAAUGGCAUAAGCCAGCUUGACUGCGAGCGUGACGGCGCGAGCAGGUGCGAAAGCAGGUCAUAGUGAUCCGGUGGUUCUGAAUGGAAGGGCCAUCGCUCAACGGAUAAAAGGUACUCCGGGGAUAACAGGCUGAUACCGCCCAAGAGUUCAUAUCGACGGCGGUGUUUGGCACCUCGAUGUCGGCUCAUCACAUCCUGGGGCUGAAGUAGGUCCCAAGGGUAUGGCUGUUCGCCAUUUAAAGUGGUACGCGAGCUGGGUUUAGAACGUCGUGAGACAGUUCGGUCCCUAUCUGCCGUGGGCGCUGGAGAACUGAGGGGGGCUGCUCCUAGUACGAGAGGACCGGAGUGGACGCAUCACUGGUGUUCGGGUUGUCAUGCCAAUGGCACUGCCCGGUAGCUAAAUGCGGAAGAGAUAAGUGCUGAAAGCAUCUAAGCACGAAACUUGCC
rnacentral:rRNA from 1 species